rnacentral:lncRNA from 13 species
CUCCUGCCUCAGCCUCCCGAGUAGCUGGGAUUACAGGCACGCGCCACCAUGCCCAGCUAAUUUUUUGUAUUUUUAGUAGAGACGGGGUUUCACCAUGUUGACCAGGAUGGUCUCGAUCUCUUGAGCUUGUGAUCCACCCGCCUCAGCCUCCCAAAGUGUUGGGAUUACAGGCUUGAGCCACCACACCUGGCGGAUUUUUUAGAAAUCUGCUUGGGCACAAACUCUAACGUAUGAUGUAGUCCCACGUGUGUCUGUUUUCUUGUUGUCCUUUGAUGUAGGUGACUGAUGAGGAAAAACAGAAUCAUGACCAAACUAUCCCAUCAUCUAUGAGAUUUUCCCCCCGUAUUUUUUAUUUUGUUUUGGCACACUGUGAGCACAGAUCCACAUUGACCUAAACAUACCCACACCAUGUGUCUUCUCAUUGGAAGAGUUUGAUGCUUUUGACUUUUUGUUGAUCAGUCUCUAAUUCAUUUUGAGUUAAUCCUUGGUCUUUUUACACAGUUGGGGUCCUAUUCUACUUACGUAGGGAUAUCCAGUUUUCAAAUCCAUUUACUAAACAGAUUCCCUGCUCUUCAUUGUGUCUGUCGGUGUUCUUUUACAAAAUGUGUACACCACCUAGGAAUUUGGGUUUGUGAUCGAGCUCCCUCAUUCUGUCUGUUGGGUUUCUCGAUUAGUGCCAGUCAUCUAGUGUUUAGAUAACUGGCUUCUCAAUAUAAUUUCAAAUGGAGGACAGUGAUGCAUUCCAUGUACUUUGUGUUUUCAGGGUUGCUUUGAAAUUCAGGGUGUUUCAUGGUUCCAUGUAAAUUUUAGUGUCAUUGGUAUUUUUUUUUUUUAUAAAGCGAUUACGCUAGAGCAUAUGUAUAUAACUAUAAGAUACAGGGGCCAUUUUGAUAUGGGUGCACCUAGCAUAUUGAUCGAAUCACAAUAUUUAGCAUCUGUGAAGUCCUCUAGGUAUUAUUUGUCUGUGGAGGUGAUACUCAUAAUCCUUUCCAGCUCUUUGGAAAAUUCACUACAAUAUUAACCCUGGUCACCCUGCUAUAGAAGAGAAGGGCAGGACUGAUCUGUUUUCUAAGUGUAACUUUGUACCCAGCACCAAUCCCUGCCUAGGCGCCCCUUCCCCACAGCCUCUGGUAACCACUAUUGAACUUUGUGCUUCUGUGAGGUCAAGUUUUUUCAGAUUCCACGUGCAUGAGAUCAUGCAGUAUAUGCCUUUCUCUGCCUGGCUUAUUUCAUUUAACAUAAUGUUCCUCAGGUUUUUCCACGUGGCCGCAAGUGACGAGAUUUCACCCAUUUCUACAAUUAAAGAAUAUUCUGCUCUGGAUGUAUAUUGCAGUUUCUUCAUCCCUUCACAAUGGAAGAACAGGUAACAUUCAUUCGAUGUGGAUGGAAGCGGCAUCUCAGUGCAGGUUUCCUUGACAUUCUUGUGAGGAUUAGCGCUUUUGAGAGACUUUUCUUUUACCUGUGAGUCAGUUUCCCAUCUGCUUCGCAGACACCUCUGUUCAGGUCCUUUGCCCAGACUUAGCUUGGGUGUUUGUUUUUGUUUCCCCCCACAUGGUAGUGUUAGUGUCUUUCACAGAUUUUAUAACGACCCCUUUGAAAGACAGGAUUUUCCAUAGUUUUCUUUCAGUCUGUGAGGCACCUUCUCUUCUGUUCAUUGUUUUCUUUUCACAGCA